rnacentral:rRNA from 1 species
UGGGGAAUCUUGCACAAUGGAGGAAACUCUGAUGCAGCGAUGCCGCGUGAGUGAAGAAGGCCUUUGGGUUGUAAAGCUCUUUUGUAGGGGAAGAUAAUGACUGUACCCUAAGAAUAAGGUCCGGCUAACUUCGUGCCAGCAGCCGCGGUAAUACGAAGGGACCUAGCGUAGUUCGGAAUUACUGGGCGUAAAGCGCGCGUAGGCCGUUGAGUUAGUUAAUUGUGAAAUCCCAAAGCUUAACUUUGGAACUGCAAUUAAAACUGCUCGACUAGAGUUUGAUAGAGGAAAGCGGAAUACAUAGUGUAGAGGUGAAAUUCGUAGAUAUUAUGUAGAACACCAGUUGCGAAGGCGGCUUUCUGGAUCAACACUGACGCUGAGGCGCGAAAGUAUGGGUAGCAAA